rnacentral:rRNA from 1 species
GAUCCUGGCUCAGGAUGAACGCUAGCUACAGGCUUAACACAUGCAAGUCGAGGGGCAGCAUGUUGGUUGCUUGCAACCGAUGAUGGCGACCGGCGCACGGGUGAGUAACGCGUAUCCAACCUACCCUUGUCCAUCGGAUAACCCGUCCGAAAGGCGGCCUAACACGAUAUGCGGUUCACCGCCAGGCAUCUAACGUGAACGAAAUAGUGAGAGAAGGANGGAGUGCGUCUGAUUAG